UUGAAAGAGGGUUAAAUAGUACGUGAAAUUGUUGAAAGGGAAGCGCUUGUGACCAGACUUGGGCGCGGCGAAUCAUCCGGGGUUCUCCCCGGUGCACUUCGCCGCGUCCAGGCCAGCAUCAGUUCGACGCGGGGGAAAAAGGCUUCGGGAAUGUGGCUCCCUCGGGAGUGUUAUAGCCCGUUGCGUAAUACCCUGCGUCGGACUGAGGACCGCGCAUCUGCAAGGAUGCUGGCGUAAUGGUCACCAGCGACCCGUCUUGAAACACGGACCAAGACGCCGGGUCGCUG
rnacentral:rRNA from 1 species